GACGAACGCUGGCGGCGUGCUUCAUACAUGCAAGUCGAACGAGAAGCUCACUUCGGUGAGUGGAAAGUGGCGGACGGGUGAGUAAAAUGUAGAGAAUCUGCCCUAGAGAGGGGGAUAGCAGUUGGAAACGACUAUUAAUACCCCAUAUGAGCGUACUUGAAAUAGUAUUCUUGAAAACUCCGGUGCUCUAGGAUGAGUCUGCAUCUGAUUAGCUAGUUGGCGGUGUAAUGGACCACCAAGGCGACGAUCAGUAGCUGGUUUGAGAGGAUGAUCAGCCACAAUGGGACUGAGACACGGCCCAUACUCCUACGGGAGGCAGCAGUAGGGAAUUUUUGCGCAAUGGGGGAAACCCUGACGCAGCAACGCCGCGUGAACGAGACGCCCUUCGGGGUGUAAA
rnacentral:rRNA from 1 species